rnacentral:rRNA from 1 species
AUUGAACGCUGGCGGCAUGCCUUACACAUGCAAGUCGAACGGUAACGGGCCUUCGGGUGCCGACGAGUGGCGAACGGGUGAGUAAUACAUCGGAACGUGCCCGAUCGUGGGGGAUAACGAGGCGAAAGCUUUGCUAAUACCGCAUACGAUCUACGGAUGAAAGCUGGGGACCGCAAGGCCUUGCGCGGACGGAGCGGCCGAUGGCAGAUUAGGUAGUUGGUGGGAUAAAAGCUUACCAAGCCGACGAUCUGUAGCUGGUCUGAGAGGAUGAUCAGCCACACUGGGACUGAGACACGGCCCAGACUCCUACGGGAGGCAGCAGUGGGGAAUUUUGGACAAUGGGCGCAAGCCUGAUCCAGCCAUGCCGCGUGCAGGAUGAAGGCCUUCGGGUUGUAAACUGCUUUUGUACGGAACGAAAAGCCUUCUUUUAAUACAGGAGGGUCAUGACGGUACCGUAAGAAUAAGCACCGGCUAACUACGUG